UUAAGCGACUAAGCGUACACGGUGGAUGCCCUGGCAGUCAGAGGCGAUGAAGGGCGUGCUAAUCUGCGAUAAGCGCCGGUAAGGUGAUAUGAACCGUUAUAACCGGCGAUACCCGAAUGGGGAAACCCAGUGUGAUUCGUCACACUAUCAUUAACUGAAUCCAUAGGUUAAUGAGGCGAACCGGGGGAACUGAAACAUCUAAGUACCCGAGGAAAAGAAAUCAACCGAGAUUCCCCCAGUAGCGGCGAGCGAACGGGGAGGAGCCCAGAGCCUGAAUCAGCAUGUGUGUUAGUGGAAGCGUCUGGAAAGGCGCGCGAUACAGGGUGACAGCCCCGUACACAAAAGCGCAUGUGCUGUGAGCUCGAUGAGUAGGGCGGGACACGUGGUAUCCUGUCUGAAUAUGGGGGGACCAUCCUCCAAGGCUAAAUACUCCUGACUGACCGAUAGUGAACCAGUACCGUGAGGGAAAGGCGAAAAGAACCCCGGCGAGGGGAGUGAAAAAGAACCUGAAACCGUGUACGUACAAGCAGUGGGAGCCCCACCACUAAGCCAGUGGUGAACUCCACAUCCGCAUCCUUUGCUGAGGAUACGGUUAACGGAGCGAAAGCGACGUUCAACCGCAAAACAAGCAGAGGGGGCUUAGUGGUGGGGUGACUGCGUACCUUUUGUAUAAUGGGUCAGCGACUUAUAUUCUGUAGCAAGGUUAACCGAAUAGGGGAGCCGGAGGGAAACCGAGUCUUAAUUGGGCGUUAAGUUGCAGGGUAUAGACCCGAAACCCGGUGAUCUAGCCAUGGGCAGGUUGAAGGUUGGGUAACACUAACUGGAGGACCGAACCGACUAAUGUUGAAAAAUUAGCGGAUGACCUGUGGCUGGGGGUGAAAGGCCAAUCAAACCGGGAGAUAGCUGGUUCUCCCCGAAAGCUAUUUAGGUAGCGCCUCGUGAAUUCAUCUCCGGGGGUAGAGCACUGUUUCGGCUAGGGGGCCAUCCCGGCUUACCAACCCGAUGCAAACUGCGAAUACCGGAGAAUGUUAUCACGGGAGACACACGGCGGGUGCUAACGUCCGUCGUGAAGAGGGAAACAACCCAGACCGCCAGCUAAGGUCCCAAAGUCAUGGUUAAGUGGGAAACGAUGUGGGAAGGCCCAGACAGCCAGGAUGUUGGCUUAGAAGCAGCCAUCAUUUAAAGAAAGCGUAAUAGCUCACUGGUCGAGUCGGCCUGCGCGGAAGAUGUAACGGGGCUAAACCAUGCACCGAAGCUGCGGCAGCGAACGUAUCACUUAAAGCGAUUCAGCGGGUUACGAUUGACGGAGCGAAGCGACGUCAAAGCGUAUACAAAGUCGAGUCGGUUUAAGGAUACGUUCGUUGGGUAGGGGAGCGUUCUGUAAGCCCGUGAAGGUGGCCUGUGAGGGUUGCUGGAGGUAUCAGAAGUGCGAAUGCUGACAUAAGUAACGAUAAAGCGGGUGAAAAGCCCGCUCGCCGGAAGACCAAGGGUUCCUGUCCAACGUUAAUCGGGGCAGGGUGAGUCGACCCCUAAGGCGAGGCCGAAAGGCGUAGUCGAUGGGAAACGGGUUAAUAUUCCCGUACUUGGUGUUACUGCGAAGGGGGGACGGAGAAGGCUAUGUUGGCCGGGCGACGGUUGUCCCGGUUUAAGCGUGUAGGUGUGUGUUCCAGGUAAAUCCGGUUCACUUUAACACUGAGGCGUGAUGACGAGGCACUACGGUGCUGAAGCAACAAAUGCCCUGCUUCCAGGAAAAGCCUCUAAGCAUCAGGUAACAUCAAAUCGUACCCCAAACCGACACAGGUGGUCAGGUAGAGAAUACCAAGGCGCUUGAGAGAACUCGGGUGAAGGAACUAGGCAAAAUGGUGCCGUAACUUCGGGAGAAGGCACGCUGACACGUAGGUGAAGUGAUUUACUCACGGAGCUGAAGUCAGUCGAAGAUACCAGCUGGCUGCAACUGUUUAUUAAAAACACAGCACUGUGCAAACACGAAAGUGGACGUAUACGGUGUGACGCCUGCCCGGUGCCGGAAGGUUAAUUGAUGGGGUCAGCGCAAGCGAAGCUCCUGAUCGAAGCCCCGGUAAACGGCGGCCGUAACUAUAACGGUCCUAAGGUAGCGAAAUUCCUUGUCGGGUAAGUUCCGACCUGCACGAAUGGCGUAAUGAUGGCCAGGCUGUCUCCACCCGAGACUCAGUGAAAUUGAACUCGCUGUGAAGAUGCAGUGUACCCGCGGCAAGACGGAAAGACCCCGUGAACCUUUACUAUAGCUUGACACUGAACAUUGAGCCUUGAUGUGUAGGAUAGGUGGGAGGCUUUGAAGUGUGGACGCCAGUCUGCAUGGAGCCGACCUUGAAAUACCACCCUUUAAUGUUUGAUGUUCUAACGUGGACCCGUAAUCCGGGUUGCGGACAGUGUCUGGUGGGUAGUUUGACUGGGGCGGUCUCCUCCUAAAGAGUAACGGAGGAGCACGAAGGUUGGCUAAUCCUGGUCGGACAUCAGGAGGUUAGUGCAAUGGCAUAAGCCAGCUUGACUGCGAGCGUGACGGCGCGAGCAGGUGCGAAAGCAGGUCAUAGUGAUCCGGUGGUUCUGAAUGGAAGGGCCAUCGCUCAACGGAUAAAAGGUACUCCGGGGAUAACAGGCUGAUACCGCCCAAGAGUUCAUAUCGACGGCGGUGUUUGGCACCUCGAUGUCGGCUCAUCACAUCCUGGGGCUGAAGUAGGUCCCAAGGGUAUGGCUGUUCGCCAUUUAAAGUGGUACGCGAGCUGGGUUUAGAACGUCGUGAGACAGUUCGGUCCCUAUCUGCCGUGGGCGCUGGAGAACUGAGGGGGGCUGCUCCUAGUACGAGAGGACCGGAGUGGACGCAUCACUGGUGUUCGGGUUGUCAUGCCAAUGGCACUGCCCGGUAGCUAAAUGCGGAAGAGAUAAGUGCUGAAAGCAUCUAAGCACGAAACUUGCCCCGAGAUGAGUUCUCCCUGAGACUUAGAGUCUCCUGAAGGAACGUUGAAGACGACGACGUUGAUAGGCCGGGUGUGUAAGCGCAGCGAUGCGUUGAGCUAACCGGUACUAAUGAACCGUGAGGCUUAACCU
rnacentral:rRNA from 1 species